rnacentral:rRNA from 1 species
GUGCCAGCCGCCGCGGUAAUACGGAGGGUGCAAGCGUUAUCCGGAUUUAUUGGGUUUAAAGGGUCCGUAGGCGGACUUAUAAGUCAGUGGUGAAAGCCUGUCGCUUAACGAUAGAACUGCCAUUGAUACUGUAAGUCUUGAGUAUAUUUGAGGUAGCUGGAAUAAGUAGUGUAGCGGUGAAAUGCAUAGAUAUUACUUAGAACACCAAUUGCGAAGGCAGGUUACCAAGAUAUAACUGACGCUGAGGGACGAAAGCGUGGGGAGCGAACAGGAUUAGAUACCCUGGUAGUCCACGCCGUAAACGAUGCUAACUCGUUUUUGGAGCGCAAGCUUCAGAGACCAAGCGAAAGUGAUAAGUUAGCCACCUGGGGAGUACGCUCGCAAGAGUGAAACUCAAAGAAAUUGACGG